CAAUAGCGUAUAUUUAAGUUGCUGCAGUUAAAAAGCUCGUAGUUGGAUUUCGGGUGGGAAUGGCCGGUCCGCCGUUUCGGUGUGCACUUGCUACGCCCACCUUGCUGCCGGGGACGUGCUCUUGAGUUCACGCUCGGGACACGGAGUCGGCGAGGUUACUUUGAGUAAAUUAGAGUGUUCAAAGCAGGCCUACGCUCUGAAUACAUUAGCAUGGAAUAACACGAUAGGACUCUGGCCUAUCUUGUUGGUCUGUAGGACCGGAGUAAUGAUUAAGAGGGACAGUCGGGGGCAUUCGUAUUUCAUUGUCAGAGGUGAAAUUCUUGGAUUUAUGAAAGACGAACUACUGUGAAAGCAUUUGCCAAGGAUGUUUUCAUUAA
rnacentral:rRNA from 1 species